GCCCGGGUGGCGCAACCGGUAGACGCAGCCGCCUUAAAAGCGGAUCAGCUGCGGGUUCGAACCCCGCUCCGGGCA
rnacentral:tRNA from 1 species